GCUAUUUUGGCAGAAAAGUGCUAUGGAAUUAGAAUCCAUUUAUGUGAUUAGAGAUCACAAAUAGUA
rnacentral:tRNA from 1 species